rnacentral:lncRNA from 1 species
GCUGAAAUUCUUGAUCUUUAUCUUCUGCUAUCUGAAUUCAUCAUCUCAGCAAACAUGUGUCAAGCAACUACUAUGAACCAGGCUCUGUGCUGGGCUCUGGGGAUUCAAAAACCCAUGACCUGAUCUUGACCUUGAAGUAUUCACAGCCUGCAACAGUGGGUCUCAGACCUGGUGGCACGUUUGAAUCGCCGUCUGAAGAACUUUAAAAAAAUACUAAUUGCGAAGUCCUAGCCAUAGAGAUUCUGGUUUAAUUGGUAUUGAGUGAGACCCUGGCAUUGUUAUUUUUAAACAGAUUCUAAUGUGCACCCAGGGAUAAGAACCACUCACUAGUCUAAUGGAUGAAACAGAUGUGGAGACAAAUGAUUUUAAUACAAUGUGAAGGCAGAAGUAAGCACAGAGGGCAGGAGGAGAACAGAAGAGAAACCCGGGAUCCAGCUUAGGAAGUGAGAAAGCCGGGCAGGUUACCCAGAGUGGAUGACUCAGUGCCCCGUCUCAUCCCAGAAGAACUUUUUGCAGAGCCCACCUUUCCUCCCAUUUUCCAAUCAAAUAGGAGAAAUGAAAGUAUCUCCUAGAGUUACCUUUUAUCUUUUUUUUCCCCCAGAUGCAGUGUUUAUUGUUUGAUUUGUAGUGCUUAUUGUUUUUGGAGUUUAAAUUCUCCCUGCAUGUCUGAUUUCAGGGUACCAACAUGAUGCCAUUGAACAUGGGACGUGAUGUGCAUAAUCAGCUCUUGGGAACCUUCAGGUGUGGGCUACAGCACCUCACUGGACCGCUGGGUUCCUAGUAGAGUGGAGGAAGUGUUCACUUAGCCACAACUUUGCUUCACCCUGGAGGCCAACUGAGGCAUGUUAGUAUACCCUCUCCCUGUAGUUCUGGAGUGAGGACAUUGGAAAGCUAAACAGUGGUGCUUGAUUCAAGGUGCUUGAUCUAAUUUCUGUGGCCUUUGUCUGAAGAGGGAGGAAUAAGAACGUGUCAACCUGGAAUUCCCAGACUGGCUGAUUGGGUCACAUUUGGAAAGCUGCUGUGUGCACAUCUGAUUAUCCUGCACCUAGGACUAUGAUUCAUUUCUUCUUUCUCAGAACGUGUAUCAGUUUGUUAUAUUGAUUAGCCUGAUUGUCUGAAUAGUGUCUUUCUGUGUCAAAUCUAUGAAAGUUUGAACCCUAUAUGCUUUUGCUGAAUACUGUAUUUCCAAUACCUAGUAAUUAUACCUAGACUGACACAUAGUGGGAAUUUUUUUCUUCAAGUUUAAGUGAAAAUUUAUUUAUUUUUUUAAAUCUCCAAAAGCUUCCCAUUGUUUAUUAUUAUUUUUAUUUUAUUUAUUUAUUUUUUAAUUUUUAAAUUUUUUUAUUAUUAUACUUUAAGUUCUAGGGUACAUGUGCACAACGUGCACGUUUGUUACAUAUGUGUACACGUGCCAUGUUGGUGUGCUGCACCCAUUAACUCGUCAUUUAC